CCUACGGGUGGCAGCAGUGAGGAAUAUUGGUCAAUGGACGAGAGUCUGAACCAGCCAAGUAGCGUGAAGGAUGACUGCCCUAUGGGUUGUAAACUUCUUUUAUAUGGGAAUAAAACGUUCCACGUGUGGGAUUUUGUAUGUACCAUAUGAAUAAGGAUCGGCUAACUCCGUGCCAGCAGCCGCGGUAAUCCGGAGGAUCCGAGCGUUAUCCGGAUUUAUUGGGUUUAAAGGGAGCGUAGGUGGAUUGUUAAGUCAGUUGUGAAAGUUUGCGGCUCAACCGUAAAAUUGCAGUUGAAACUGGCAGUCUUGAGUACAGUAGAGGUGGGCGGAAUUCGUGGUGUAGCGGUGAAAUGCUUAGAUAUCACGAAGAACUCCGAUUGCGAAGGCAGUUCACUGGACUGCAACUGACACUGAGGCUCGAAAGUGUGGGUAUCAAACAGGAUUAGAUACCCUUGUAGUC
rnacentral:rRNA from 1 species